CAUAUUAAUACUUUUUUCUCAGAAGAUUCAACAAAAGUAGAGUGUUAAAUGAAUACUUAUGUAUUACUAUACAAUAUUAUAUAGGAAUUUGCAGAAAAUGUCCAAAUCUAUAAAAUAAGGCCUCUUCCAGACUGGCUUCUCCCUGUAGAACAACAGCAAAAUUUAUGCAAAAACAAUUUUAGGCACUUCCAUAUGGAGAACUCUAAGAGAAAAUUCAUAAUGAACCAUUUCAUAUUCAAGCAUCGACGACGACGCUUACUCGUUCGAGAAGAACAUUAUAUUAUAAGCUGAAAUGUUAAAUAGAAUUCCAGCUUGUGAACACCAGGCAAAACAAUUAUAUGUAGUUAUCAUACACAUUAACUGGCUCAAUGAAUAGUCAUAAGUCAAUCAACAACUGUACAUCCAAUCAUUUGUGGGGUUGUGUGUGAUCUCAGACUAUGUAGGUCUUCUGGGGACUUUUUGGACCGCGCUUUUUUCUUCUGGGAUUAGAACUGAUAGCACAAGAGAAGGCGUUGAGAAGCUCGGAGUCUUCUUGGGAAAUGAGAAUCUUAGCUGAACUUGGAUUGGCAAGGAGGAGUUUGGCAACGAGGUAUCCAGCUAUUGACCAAGUUUGGAAAAGGCGCGCUUGUUUCCCUAUGAAC